AUUUAAAUAGUUUAAUAAAAAAUUUUGAUUUGUGGAGUCAAGGAUGUAAGUAUUUACUUUAGGUA
rnacentral:tRNA from 1 species